rnacentral:rRNA from 1 species
GUUUGUUGGUGAGGUAAUGGCCCACCAAGACUAUUACAGGUACGGGCUCUGAGAGGAGUAGCCCGGAGAUGGGUACUGAGACACGGACCCAGGCCCUAUGGGGCGCAGCAGGCGAGAAAACUUUGCAAUGUGCGAAAGCACGACAAGGUUAAUCCGAGUGGUUUCUGUUAAAGAAACCUUUUGUCAGUCCUAGAAACACUAACGAAUAAGGGGUGGGCAAGUUCUGGUGUCAGCCGCCGCGGUAAAACCAGCACCUCAAGUGGUCAGGAUGAUUAUUGGGCCUAAAGCAUCCGUAGCUUGCUUUGUAAGUUCUCGGUUAAAUCCAUACGCUUAACGUAUGGGCUGCCGGCAAUACUGCAAAGCUAGGGAGUGGGAGAGGUAGACGGUACUCGGUAGGAAGGGGUAAAAUCCUUUGAUCUAUUGAUGACCACCUGUGGCGAAGGCGGUCUACCAGAACACGUCCGUCGGUGAGGGAUGAAAGCUGGGGGAGCAAACCGGAUUAGAUACCCGGGUAGUCCCAGCUGUAAACUAUGCAAACUCAGUGAUGCAUUGGCUUGUGGCCAAUGCAGUGCUGCAGGGAAGCCGUUAAGUUUGCCGCCUGGGAAGUACGUACGCAAGUAUGAAACUUAAAGGAAUUGGCGGGGGAGCACCACAAGGGGUGAAGCCUGCGGUUC